CUAGGAUAUGGGUGCCUGGUUACCAGAGUUCUAAGUUCUCUUCGUGUGUGUCAUCAUCGAGGAAGUGAGGUCGCUUCUUUACGGUUCUGUCCCCUAGGCCCCUUCCUUCCAUAAGCCUACUCAGGACUCCACUGGGUUACUGACUACUCACCCUCCCCUCAGGUCAUCUCCUGACCCGUACACAGUUAUGUCCACCCAGGCUCUGCUUGGACACCUGUGCCUGAUGUUCACCAGGGGCCAGAUGUCGUCCUCAGGCCUGAUGUCCACCUGGGGCCUGAUGUCUGCCUUGGCCUAUGUCCCUCUUGGGGCCUUGUGUUCACCUGGGGACUGUAUCCAGCUGGGGCCUGAUGGCCUACUGGGUCUUGUUGUUCACCUAAGGCCUUGUGUCCACCUGGGGACUGGUGAUCACCUGGGGCCUGGGUGUCCACCUGAGGCCGGAGGUGCACCUAAGGCCUGAGUUUUCACCUGGGCCUGAUGAUCACCUGGGGACUGGGUGUGUGCCUUGGGUCUUUUCCCUUUUCCUGAACAGGGCUUGCAGUUUCCAAACCAGACACAAUCUCCCAGUUGGAGAAAGAAAAAGGAUCCUAGAUGAUAGUGAGACAAAUUUCAGGAAACUCCAUCCAAAUAAGUAAAUGAGAAUGAGGACAGGAUUCAUUGCAUGGUGGCAUGUGCCUGCAGUCCCAGCUACUCAGGAGGCUGAGGUGGGAGGAUCGCUUGAACUCAGGAGUUGAAGGCUGCAGUGGGUGAGGAUCACAACACUGAAUUCCAGCUGAGGUGACAGAAUGAGACCCUGUCUCUCUAAAAAACAAGCAAGCAAACAAACCAAAAACCACAAACAAACCAGACCCCUCUUAGCAGAAUACUUCCAUGAGGUAAUAAAAGGUUUAAUUUAUUUCAGAAGUUUCUAGAUUUUAUUGUCUCUAUUUAGCCAAAGCCAUAAGAAAAGUCAAAUUCAUAUCUUUAAAUGCUUUCAUUAUCAAUCAAGAAAGAAGAAAGUGAAACGAACAAACAAUUUUACUCAAGAAACUAGUGAGAAAUCAAAGAAAUGUCCAAGAAGUAGGAUACAAGAAUUAAUCAAAACAGAUUAACAGUGGAAUAAAUAAAUGAAUCCAACUGGUUCUUUGUAAUGGAAUGUGGAAAGACAUACUCUAUUCUUCUGGAUAGGAAGAUGAAAUAUCAUAAUCAUAUCAAUGCAAGUUUUAUGCAUGCUCAAACAUGUAUAAACUAAGAAAAAAUCUGAAAGGACAGACAGCAAAAUGUUUGCAGUUUUUUUCCUCCAAGUGGUAAGAUUAAAGAACACAGACAAAAAUAGAAACUCCUCACAUGACCCACCACGAAGCCCAUCAGAUGGCAGAAUGCAGAAUCAGGUUGCAGUGGACUGAUCUUAAAACAGAUGAAGCAGUGGAGAAAAUCUUCCUGGAGCUGAUGGUAUAAUUUGCUUCUUGAAACAAUGACAGUCCAUGAAAUAAGGUGGGGAAGAUGUUUUGAACCUCUCUCAGCAGCAGAUCCCUAAAUCACAGACCCAGAACUUGGAGGAAACAGGAAACAGGAGGCCAUCUCUGCACCUCUCCAGCACUGCUCUGGUUGGUGGGCAGAAUAUCAUAAAAUCAUCACGAUUCUUAUAUCAAAAACCAAAUUCUAGACUGAUUAAAUAAUUAUUUUUUUAAAUGAGAAAAGUUAUCGUUUAUUUGAUCUUGGGCUAGGGAAGAUAUUUCCAAGCAA